rnacentral:misc_RNA from 1 species
CAACCAAUCCAGCCCGGCUGGGUGUUGGGCGUCGCGGCCUGCCGCGCGCCUCAAAGUCCUCGGCGGAAGCCGCCCGUUCCUCUGCGUGAUGAUCCAUCGCCGCUUGGGAGUCGGGGGAGAGCGCCUGCACGCGUCGACGGAGACGCCGGCUCUCCA